rnacentral:lncRNA from 1 species
AUACCUGCACUGAAGCAACAGUCAUCUUUAAGCCAAAUAGGCGGAGAGAAAUGACUUCUUCAAAGUAUUCAGACAGGGUCUCACUCCGUCACCCAGGCUGGAGUACAGUGGCACAAUCUCGGUUCUCUGCAACCUCCAUCGCCCAGGCUCAAGUGAUCCCCCCACCUCAACCUCCCAAGUAGCUGGGAUUACAAGCCUGCACCUCUAUGCCCAGCUAAUUUUUGUGUUUUUAGUAGAGACAAGGUUUUGCCAUGUUGGCCAGGCUGGUCUCGAACUCCUGACCUCAGGUGAUCCAAAAGCCUUGGCCUCCCCAAGUGCUGGGAUUACAGGCUUGAGCCACCACACCUGGCCAAUUAUUUUAUUAAGCCAGAUGAAUCUAGCUCUGGACAGUUAUAAGCAAAGAAAAACUAACGGAAAAAUACAGAGGCCUGAAGAAUCACAGAGGGAAACUCAUUUGUUCCUCUGGCAGCUCUCCCCAAGGACACCUGUGAGACAAAGUCAGAAGUGGCUUCCCUGGUGACCCAGAGAGACCACAGGGCUCUUGCCGCUGCUUCCUCUACUCCCGUAUUUUGCCGAGCUCUCUAAAUUGUCUCAGCUCUAGCCUGAAUCUAUGGUUUCAUGGAGAGCUCCCUAAAAUCUGUUGACAGAGGAAGAGAAGACUUGAACCUGGUUUACAGAUGGUACUGCACAAUAUGCAGGAACCACAUGAAAGCAGGCAGUUGAAGCACUGCAGCCUCUCUCUGGGACAUCUCCUAAGAAAAAUGAGGGAGCAUCCUCCCAUCCUCCAGGCUCACUGCAACCUCCACCUCCUGGAUUCAAGAGAUUCUCUCACCUCAGCCUCCCGAGUACCUAGGAUUACAGGUUCCUGCCACCAAGCCUGGCUUGUAUUUUUAAUAGAGACGAGGUUUCACCAUGUAGGCAAAGCUGGUCUUAAACUCCUGACCUCAAGUGACCCACCCACCUCAGCCUUCCAAAGUGCUGGGAUUAUAGGCAUGAGCUACCCCACCUGGCCUCGAUCUGUAAGUGUUUUCUAAUUUCCCUUGUGAAUACUUUUUUUGACCCA